GCCCGUCCCACCCCCACCCGCCAACAGGCGACGGCUGCCCUCCCCCGCUUUCAUCAUCGGUGCCACGAAGUCAAGUCCAGGAGAGGAGGGCGCAUUUGUUUCCAAUGAGAGCACUUUGAACUUAGCUUCAUAAUAUGGGGUUGAAUAUGUGAAUAUAAUUCAGUGACAGGACACCAAGGACAGUUGCAGAAAGAAAGGCAUUCACACCUAAUUUCUUGACAGCAGAGGGAAAGCAAUGUUUCUUGUGGUGGAUGGCUUUACCAGAGCUGACUAGACCAAUUAACAGUUUAUUCAAGGGGUCGGACAAAAGAUGCUCUGGAAAUCUGUGCCAUCAGGACUGAGUUGACUAGUGGGAAAAGGUUGUUUUGAAGUGCGCCUUGCUGACGAUAACCACAUCUGGAAACUCGGACAGAAUGAAGCAGUAGGGGAAGACCCUUUUAAAGAUUUGACUCAGGUGGCUGAAGGUGGUGAGCCACUGCCAGAGUUCUUGGAGAAAGUUUGGGACUGUCCUUGAUGCUGCAUGCCUGCCCAUUAGCAAUUUUUGUAUCAGUUUAAAGUAAAAUGUACUUUUGUGUUUGAA